rnacentral:rRNA from 1 species
UACGUAGGGAGCAAGCGUUGUCCGGAAUCAUUGGGCGUAAAGCGCGCGUAGGCGGCCUCGUAAGUCCGUUGUGAAAGUCAAAGGCUCAACCCUUUGAAAGCCGAUGGAUACUGUGAGGCUAGAGUCCGGAAGAGGCGAGUGGAAUUCCUGGUGUAGCGGUGGAAUCGCGCAGAUAUCAGGAGGAACACCAAUAGCGAAGGCAGCUCGCUGGGACGGUACUGACGCUAAGGCGCGAAAGCGUGGGGAGCGAACAGG